rnacentral:tRNA from 1 species
GCCGAGGUGGUGGAAUAGGUAGACACGCCGUCUUGAGGGGGCGGUGCUCGAAAGGGCGUAGGGGUUCAAAUCCCCUCCUCGGCACCA